rnacentral:rRNA from 1 species
UACGUAGGGUGCAAGCGUUGUCCGGAAUUAUUGGGCGUAAAGGGCUCGUAGGCGGUCCAUCACGUCGGGAGUGAAAAGCUGGGGCUUAACCCCAGUCCUGCUUCCGAUACGGGUGGACUAGAGGUAGGCAGGGGAGACUGGAAUUCCUGGUGUAGCGGUGAAAUGCGCAGAUAUCAGGAGGAACACCGGUGGCGAAGGCGGGUCUCUGGGCCGAUACUGACGCUCAUGCACGAAAGCGUGGGGAGCAAACAGG